rnacentral:tRNA from 1 species
GCAAUGGUGGUUCAGUGGUAGAAUUCUCUACUUCCAUGAAGGAGACUUAGGUUCAAUUCCCGGCCAAUGCA